rnacentral:rRNA from 1 species
ACGGCUCAGUAACACGUAGUCAACAUGCCCAGGGGACGUGGAUAACCUCGGGAAACUGAGGCUAAACCGCGACAGGCCAAGAUUUCUGGAAUGGAUCAUGGCUUAAAUCUAUAUGGCCUCUGGAUUGGACUGCGGCCGAUCAGGCUGUUGGUGAGGUAAUGGCCCACCAAACCUGAAACCGGUACGGGCUCUGAGAGGAGAAGCCCGGAGAUGGGCACUGAGACAAGGGCCCAGGCCCUAUGGGGCGCAGCAGGCGCGAAAUCUUUGCAAUAGGCGAAAGCCUGACAAGGUUACUCUGAGUGAUCUCCGCUAAGGAAAUCUUUUGACACCUCUAAAAAUGGUGUAGAAUAAGGGGUGGGCAAGCCUGGUGUCAGCCGCCGCGGUAAUACCAGCACCCCGAGUGGUCGGGACGAUUAUUGGGCCUAAAGCAUCCGUAGCCGGUUCCUUAAGUCCUCCGUUAAAUCCACCUGCUUAACAGAUGGGCUGCGGAGGAUACUAUAGAGCUAGGAGGCGGGAGAGGCAAGCGGUACUCAGUGGGUAGGGGUAAAAUCCGUUGAUCCAUUGAAGACCACCAGUGGCGAAGGCGGCUUGCCAGAACGCGCUCGACGGUGAGGGAUGAAAGCUGGGGGAGCAAACCGGAUUAGAUACCCGGGUAGUCCCAGCUGUAAACGAUGCAGACUCGGUGAUGAACAGGCUUCGUGCCUGUUCAGUGCCGCAGGGAAGCCGUUAAGUCUGCCGCCUGGGGAGUACGGUCGCAAGACUGAAACUUAAAGGAAUUGGCGGGGGAG